UGGUGCUGGUAGGGCUGGCUAUGGGGCUGGUUCUGGUAGGGCUGGCUAUGGGGCUGGUUAUGGGGCUGGUGGUACCAGUGGGGCUGGUUCCGGUAGGGCUGGCUAUGGGGCUGGUGGUACCAGUGGGGCUGGUUCCGCUAGGGAUGGCUAUGGGGCUGGUGCUGGUAGAGCUGGUUAUGGGGCUGGUGCUGGUAGGGCUGGCUAUGGGGCUGGUGGUACCAGUAGGGCUGGUUCUGGUAGGGCUGGCUAUGAUGGGUCCAGUGGUUCCAGUGGGGCUGGUUCUGGUAGGGCUGGUUCUGGUAGGGCUGGUUAUGGGGCUGGUGGUACCAAUAGGGCUGGUUCUGGUAGGGAUGGCUAUGGGGCUGGUGGUACCAGUGGGGCUGGUUCUGGUAGGGCUGGCUAUGAUGGGUCCAGUGGUAUCAGUGGGGCUGGUUCAUGUAGGGCUGGCUAUGGGGCUGGUGGUACCAGUAGGGCUGGUUCCGGUAGCGAUGGCUAUGGGGCUGGUCUAGUAGGGCUGGCUGUGAUGGGUCCAGUGGUACCAGUGGGGCUGGUUCUGGUAGGGCUGGCUAUGGGGCUGGCGGUACCAGUAGGGCUGGUGCCAGUAGGGCUGGCUACAAUGGGUCCAGUGGUACCAGUGGGGCUGGCUUUGAUGGGGCUGGUGGUACCAGUGGGGCUGGUUCUGGUAGGGCUGGCUAUGAUGGGUCCAGUGGUAUCAGUGGGGCUGGUUCUGGUAGGGCUGGUUAUGGGGCUGGUUCCAGUAGGGCUGGCUAUGGGGCUGGUGGUACCAGUAAGGCUGGUUCCGGUAGGGCUGGCUAUGGGGCUGGUUCCGGUAGGGCUGGCUAUGGGGCUGGCUCUGGUAGGGCUGGCUAUGAUGGGUCCAGUGAUACCAAUGGGGCUGGUUCCGGUAGGGCUGGUUCCGGUAGGGCUGGCUAUGGGGCUGGUUCCGGUAGGGCUGGCAAUGGGGCUGGUGGUACCAGUAGGGCUGGUUCCGGUAGGGCUGGUUCAGGUAGGGCUGGUGGUACCAAUAGGGCUGGUUCUGGUGGUGCUCUCAAUGGGUCCAGUGGUACCGGUGGUACCGGUUCUGGUGGUGCCGUCAAUGAUGGGUCCGGUGGUACCGGUUCUGAUGGUACCGGUUCUGGUGGUACCAGUGUUGGUGGUUCUGGUAUUGCUGGUACCGGUGUCUGUAUGGUACCAAUGGGGGCUGUUGUGGUUCCGGUUCCGGUUCUGGUUCCGGUUCUGGUUCUGGUUCUGGUCCCGGUGUCGCUCUAUGAUGGAGCUGGGGGGUUCCCAGGGGGUGACACGGGGAUGGAGCUGAUGGAGCUGGAACUGGGGGGGGG
rnacentral:lncRNA from 1 species